GCGCCCCUAGCUCAGCUGGAUAGAGUGCUUCCCUCCGAAGGAAGAGGUCAGUCGUUCGAAUCGACUGGGGCGCACCA
rnacentral:tRNA from 1 species